CAAGUCGAACGGCAGCGCGUUUGGGGUAACCCAAAUGGCGGCGAGUGGCGGACGGGUGAGUAAUAUGUAGGAAUCUGCCUUGAGGUGGGGGAUAACUCGGGGAAACUCGAGCUAAUACCACAUAAGUUCUAAGGAAGAAAGCAGGGGACCGUAAGGCCUUGCGCCUUAAGAUGAGCCUACAUCGGAUUAGCUUGUUGGUGGGGUAAAGGCCUACCAAGGCGACGAUCCGUAGCUGGUCUGAGAGGAUGAUCAGCCACACUGGGACUGAGACACGGCCCAGACUCCUACGGGAGGCAGCAGUGGGGAAUAUUGGACAAUGGGGGCAACCCUGAUCCAGCAAUGCCGCGUGUGUGAAGAAGGCCUUCGGGUUGUAAAGCACUUUCAGUGGGGAGAAAGGUGCGUGUGCUAAUACCACACGUAAUUGAUGUUACCCACAGAAGAAGCACCGGCUAACUCUGUGCCAGCAGCCGCGGUAAUACAGAGGGUGCAAGCGUUAAUCGGAAUUACUGGGCGUAAAGCGUGUGUAGGUGGUUUAGUAAGUUAGAUGUGAAAUCCCCGGGCUUAACCUGGGAACUGCGUCUAAGACUAUUGAACUAGAGUGCUGUAGAGGAUAGUGGAAUUUCCAGUGUAGCGGUGAAAUGCGUAGAUAUUGGAAGGAACACCAGUGGCGAAGGCGACUUUCUGGAUAGACACUGACACUGA
rnacentral:rRNA from 1 species